GACAGAGGGGGCAAGCGUUGCUCGGAAUUACUGGGCGUAAAGGGCGCGUAGGCGGGAUGGCAAGUCGGUCGUGAAAUCCCUCGGCUCAACCGAGGAACGUCGAUCGAUACUGCUGUUCUUGAGGAUUGCAGAGGAGACUGGAAUUCCUGGUGUAGCGGUGAAAUGCGCAGAUAUCAGGAGGAACACCGGUGGCGAAGGCGGGUCUCUGGGCCGAUAUUGACGCUGAGGAGCGAAAGCGUGGGGAGCGAACAGG
rnacentral:rRNA from 1 species